rnacentral:rRNA from 1 species
GAUGAACGCUGGCGGCGUGCCUAAUACAUGCAAGUCGAGCGAACAGACGAGGAGCUUGCUCCUCUGACGUUAGCGGCGGACGGGUGAGUAACACGUGGAUAACCUACCUAUAAGACUGGGAUAACUUCGGGAAACCGGAGCUAAUACCGGAUAAUAUAUUGAACCGCAUGGUUCAAUAGUGAAAGACGGUUUUGCUGUCACUUACAGAUGGAUCCGCGCCGCAUUAGCUAGUUGGUAGGGUAACGGCUUACCAAGGCAACGAUGCGUAGCCGACCUGAGAGGGUGAUCGGCCACACGGGAACUGAGACACGGUCCAGAAUACUACGGGAGGCAGAAGUAGGGAAUCUUCCGCAAUGGGCGAAAGCCUGACGGAGCAACGCCGCGUGAGUGAUGAAGGUCUUCGGAUCGUAAAACUCUGUUAUUAGGGAAGAACAAAUGUGUAAGUAACUAUGCACGUCUUGACGGUACCUAAUCAGAAAGCCACGGCUAACUACGUG